GUGAAGCAAGUCGUCGGAUCGUAAACCCUCUUCUUAGAGAAGAAAGUGCGUGAGAGUAACUGUUCACGUUUCGACUGGUAUCUAANCAGACAGGCACGGCUAANUNCGUGCCAGCAGCCGCGAUAAUACGUAGGUGGCAAGCGUUAUCCGGAUUUAUUGGGCGUAAAGGGAGCGCAGGCGGUCUGUUAAGUCUGAUGUGAAAGGCUUCGGCUUAACCGGAGUAGUGCAUUGGAAACUGGGAGACUUGAGUGCAGAAGAGGAGAGUGGAACUCCAUGUGUAGCGGUGAAAUGCGUAGAUAUAUGGAAGAACACCAGUGGCGAAAGCGGCUCUCUGGUCUGUAACUGACGCUGAGGUUCGAAAGCGUGGGUAGCAAACAGGAUUAGAUACCCUGGUAGUCCACCCCGUAAACGAUGAAUGCUAAGUGUUGGAGGGUUUCCGCCCUUCAGUGCUGCAGCUAACGCAAUAAGCAUUCCGCCUGGGGAGUACGACCGCAAGGUUGAAACUCAAAGGAAUUGACGGGGGCCCGCACAAGCGGUGGAGCAUGUGGUUUAAUUCGAAGCAACGCGAAGAACCUUACCAGGUCUUGACAUCUUCUGACAAUCCUAGAGAUAGGACUUUCCCUUCGGGGACAGAAUGACAGGUGGUGCAUGGUUGUCGUCAGCUCGUCUCGUGAGAUGUUGGGUUAAGUCCCGCAACGAGCGCAACCCUUAUUGUUAGUUGCCAGCAUUAAGUUGGGUACUCUAGCAAGACUGCCGGUGACAAACCGGAGGAAGGCG
rnacentral:rRNA from 1 species